rnacentral:lncRNA from 1 species
AUGAGAUCAGAUUCCGGGCGCUGCCUGAUUCUGGGCUCUGUCUUGGCCACUCACCCCUGGCCUGGUCCGGCCUGGCUCCGAUCUGCUGGCUUGCUGGGCGCUCCCGCUCCGGCUGGGCUGGGCUGGGCUGGGCUAGGCUGCAGGAUGGCACGCGCUGCUCAGCCUCCCUCCCCCUUCUUCCUCCUUCCACCCUCCCUCCUCUACCUAGCCAACCUGUUACUCCCCUCCCCGAACUCCGCCCCUUCCCCCGCCUCCAUUGGCCCACCACCGCCCCGCCCCGCCCUGUUCUUCCGAGGAUUGGCCCACGGACCCCACGAUAGGCGGGCCUGCUGUAGACCUGGAAUGAUACCGGGGUCUGAUUGACAUCCAGUGGUUGAAAAGACAAAAUCAAAAUGAGAAUUGAAAAUGACGAAGAUUGGCUCUGGAAAAGAACUGAUGAAAUGCACUUCCCUUCUUUUGUUAUAAAGUUGGGGAAUAUGGGUAUGGAAUAUUACGUAUACUGUCAGAUACAGUCCAUGGAUUGGUUAGUUUUGCUGAGCUAUUUUUUUCCUCUUUAAAAAAAAAUCUUUGUUGGGGCAGCUAGGUAACUCAGUGGAUUGAGAGCCAGGCCUAGAGAUGGGAGGUCCUGGGUUCAAAUGUGACCUAACACUUCCCAGCUGUGUGACCCUGGGCAAGUCACUUGACCCACAUUGCCUAGCCCUUACAACUCUUCUGCCCUGGAACCAAUACACAGUAUCGAUUCCAAGAUGGAAGGUAAGGAUUUAAAAAAAAAAUCUUUGUUAUAAGAGAUAGCUUUCUGGGUAGAGAAGGGAGAAAGAAAUAUUUGGUAAUCAAUGUUAAAUAAAAAUAAAAGGAUUUAAUAAAAAUGAUGUAAU